AUACCUACCAGGCAGGCAAGACACCAUGAUCACGAAGGUGAUUUUCCCAGGGCAAGGCUCAUCCAUUGCACUCCGGAUGUGCUGACCCCUGCAAUUUCCCCAAAUGUAGGAAACUCGACUGCAUAAUUUGUGGUAGUGGGGGACUGCAUUUGUGCUCUCCCCUA
rnacentral:snRNA from 1 species